UUAAGCGACUAAGCGUACACGGUGGAUGCCCUGGCAGUCAGAGGCGAUGAAGGACGUGCUAAUCUGCGAAAAGCGUCGGUAAGGUGAUAUGAACCGUUAUAACCGGCGAUGUCCGAAUGGGGAAACCCAGUGCAAUUCGUUGCACUAUCGUUAACUGAAUACAUAGGUUAACGAGGCGAACCGGGGGAACUGAAACAUCUAAGUACCCCGAGGAAAAGAAAUCAACCGAGAUUCCCCCAGUAGCGGCGAGCGAACGGGGAGCAGCCCAGAGUCUGAAUCAGCUUGUGUGUUAGUGGAACGGUCUGGAAAGUCCGACGGUACAGGGUGAUAGUCCCGUACACCAAAAUGCACAGGCUGUGAACUCGAAGAGUAGGGCGGGACACGUGGUAUCCUGUCUGAAUAUGGGGGGACCAUCCUCCAAGGCUAAAUACUCCUGACUGACCGAUAGUGAACCAGUACCGUGAGGGAAAGGCGAAAAGAACCCCGGCGAGGGGAGUGAAAAAGAACCUGAAACCGUGUACGUACAAGCAGUGGGAGCACCUUCGGGUGUGACUGCGUACCUUUUGUAUAAUGGGUCAGCGACUUAUAUUCUGUAGCAAGGUUAACCGUAUAGGGGAGCCGCAGGGAAACCGAGUCUUAACUGGGCGUUAAGUUGCAGGGUAUAGACCCGAAACCCGGUGAUCUAGCCAUGGGCAGGUUGAAGGUUGGGUAACACUAACUGGAGGACCGAACCGACUAAUGUUGAAAAAUUAGCGGAUGACUUGUGGCUGGGGGUGAAAGGCCAAUCAAACCGGGAGAUAGCUGGUUCUCCCCGAAAGCUAUUUAGGUAGCGCCUCGUGAAUUCAUCUUCGGGGGUAGAGCACUGUUUCGGCUAGGGGGUCAUCCCGACUUACCAACCCGAUGCAAACUACGAAUACCGAAGAAUGUUAUCACGGGAGACACACGGCGGGUGCUAACGUCCGUCGUGAAGAGGGAAACAACCCAGACCGCCAGCUAAGGUCCCAAAGUCAUGGUUAAGUGGGAAACGAUGUGGGAAGGCACAGACAGCCAGGAUGUUGGCUUAGAAGCAGCCAUCAUUUAAAGAAAGCGUAAUAGCUCACUGGUCGAGUCGGCCUGCGCGGAAGAUGUAACGGGGCUAAACCAUGCACCGAAGCUGCGGCAGCGACACUAUGUGUUGUUGGGUAGGGGAGCGUUCUGUAAGCCUGCGAAGGUGACCUGUGAGGGUUGCUGGAGGUAUCAGAAGUGCGAAUGCUGACAUAAGUAACGAUAAAGCGGGUGAAAAGCCCGCUCGCCGGAAGACCAAGGGUUCCUGUCCAACGUUAAUCGGGGCAGGGUGAGUCGACCCCUAAGGCGAGGCCGAAAGGCGUAGUCGAUGGGAAACAGGUUAAUAUUCCUGUACUUGGUGUUACUGCGAAGGGGGGACGGAGAAGGCUAUGUUAGCCGGGCGACGGUUGUCCCGGUUUAAGCAUGUAGGCUGAUUGUCCAGGCAAAUCCGGAUAAUCAAGGCUGAGGUGUGAUGACGAGGCACUACGGUGCUGAAGUAACAAAUGCCCUGCUUCCAGGAAAAGCCUCUAAGCAUCAGGUAACAUCAAAUCGUACCCCAAACCGACACAGGUGGUCAGGUAGAGAAUACCAAGGCGCUUGAGAGAACUCGGGUGAAGGAACUAGGCAAAAUGGUGCCGUAACUUCGGGAGAAGGCACGCUGGUGUGUAGGUGAAGUCCCUGCGGAUGGAGCUGAGACCAGUCGAAGAUACCAGCUGGCUGCAACUGUUUAUUAAAAACACAGCACUGUGCAAACACGAAAGUGGACGUAUACGGUGUGACGCCUGCCCGGUGCCGGAAGGUUAAUUGAUGGGGUUAUCCGUAAGGAGAAGCUCUUGAUCGAAGCCCCGGUAAACGGCGGCCGUAACUAUAACGGUCCUAAGGUAGCGAAAUUCCUUGUCGGGUAAGUUCCGACCUGCACGAAUGGCGUAAUGAUGGCCAGGCUGUCUCCACCCGAGACUCAGUGAAAUUGAACUCGCUGUGAAGAUGCAGUGUACCCGCGGCAAGACGGAAAGACCCCGUGAACCUUUACUAUAGCUUGACACUGAACAUUGAGCCUUGAUGUGUAGGAUAGGUGGGAGGCUUUGAAGCGUGGACGCCAGUCUGCGUGGAGCCAACCUUGAAAUACCACCCUUUAAUGUUUGAUGUUCUAACGUUGGCCCCUUACCGGGGUUGCGGACAGUGUCUGGUGGGUAGUUUGACUGGGGCGGUCUCCUCCCAAAGCGUAACGGAGGAGCACGAAGGUUAGCUAAUCCUGGUCGGACAUCAGGAGGUUAGUGCAAUGGCAUAAGCUAGCUUGACUGCGAGCGUGACGGCGCGAGCAGGUGCGAAAGCAGGUCAUAGUGAUCCGGUGGUUCUGAAUGGAAGGGCCAUCGCUCAACGGAUAAAAGGUACUCCGGGGAUAACAGGCUGAUACCGCCCAAGAGUUCAUAUCGACGGCGGUGUUUGGCACCUCGAUGUCGGCUCAUCACAUCCUGGGGCUGAAGUAGGUCCCAAGGGUAUGGCUGUUCGCCAUUUAAAGUGGUACGCGAGCUGGGUUUAGAACGUCGUGAGACAGUUCGGUCCCUAUCUGCCGUGGGCGCUGGAGAAUUGAGGGGGGCUGCUCCUAGUACGAGAGGACCGGAGUGGACGCAUCACUGGUGUUCGGGUUGUCAUGCCAAUGGCACUGCCCGGUAGCUAAAUGCGGAAGAGAUAAGUGCUGAAAGCAUCUAAGCACGAAACUUGCCCCGAGAUGAGUUCUCCCUGAGACUUUAAGUCUCCUGAAGGAACGUUGAAGACGACGACGUUGAUAGGCCGGGUGUGUAAGCGCAGCGAUGCGUUGAGCUAACCGGUACUAAUGAACCGUGAGGCUUAACCUU
rnacentral:rRNA from 2 species